UUAAGAGGACCCGUUAGGCCCUUGUGGUCGAAGCGGAGAAUUUAAGCCCCAGUAAACGGCGGUGGUAACUAUAACCAUCCUAAGGUAGCGAAAUUCCUUGUCGGGUAAGUUCCGACCCGCACGAAUGGCGUAACGAUUUCCCCACUGUCUCCAGUAUCGACUCAGCGAAAUUGAAUUCUCCGUGAAGAUGCGGAGUUCCCGCGGUCAGACGGAAAGACCCCGUGAACCUUUACUAUAGCUUUGCACUGGUGUUAGGAAUCAGAUGUGCAGGAUAGGUGGGAGACUACGAA
rnacentral:rRNA from 15 species